CAAACACGGCUGUACACAACUCUCGUACAUCUUGAUUUUUUUGGGAUUGACUCCUGCACACUGACUGGGGCAUGUGGAGUGUGUUCUACUUGCCAUCAUUUGUUUCAGCAAACAUAUUUCUACUGUACAGAGGGUGAGUAUUUUUGGAAAUUAUUUAAUUAAAUUUUUUUCAGGUUAAUGAAACCCAAGUUAAUCUGUACACAAACAGAAGACAACUGUUCAAGCUUACUAAAUUUUUGCAAGACUUGAACAAAGACAAUACAAGAUUGUGCAUUAAUAGGUGAUUUCCCAAACGUGCCUUCAUGUCUGAAAUAUGAAAGCUAAGUCAUUGGUAGGAAGAGCCUACUUCUUGAGGAAAAACGAAAAUCUAUUGUCCAAGAAGAUUAAAUCCUUAACCACUCAGUUAAAGUCACAAAUUAUCAGGUCUGCAAAGAGUUUUUUCCUCUAAGGACUGCAGAAAGGCCUGCAACAUCUCUCCGAGGUCAAAAUGUGUGCCUGACAAGGAUAUGCAGAAUGCAAUUUGCUUUAGGUGGCAUAGUCUAGUUGACCACAAAGUGUCUCAGCUUAGCCAACUGAGCUUGGAAGAUCCUGUGAGUGAAAGCUUUUGGACCACAGCAGGAAACUCUGGAUUCCCCAGCACAGGAAACCAUUGAUCUGUUGGAGUGAGGAGACCACAAAGGUGGGUAAAGGAUUGGAGCACCGCUCCUGUGAAGACAUGCUGGGAUCUGUUUGGCCAGCAGAAAAGGCGGCUCUGGGAUGACCCCUUCAAUACACAGAAAAGACUUUUAGGAAAGGAGGCAGCAUUUCACCAAGGUAUGUAGUGACAGGACAAAGUUUAAGAGUUUUACAAUGAAAAAAGUUUAGAUUGAACAUAGGGAAGAAAAUUGCUACAAUAAAGGUGGUGAGGCACUGUCACAAGUUGCCCAGAGAAGCUGUGGAUAACCCAUUCCUGGAAGUCCUUGAAAGGUUCAAGGGUGGCUCUGAGCAACUUGCUCUAGUGAAAGAUGUCCCUGUCCCAUGACCUUUAAAGGUCCCUUCCGACUAUUCUGUGAUUUUGAGAUGCUACUUCAAAAAUCUGAUCCGUUGCUGGGACACUAUAAGCAGUAAUAAAUUUGACAACUGCUACUUCUAACAAUAAUAUACUGUAUUUUAUUCCUUAUAUCAAGUUUAAGACAUUCUAAGCUGGGAUCACACAAAACCUACCAACUGCAGUCUGGCCUGCAGCAAAAAAAGAUUAUCCAGCAUAAAAGCUCAGGCUUAAAUUACAAGAAAUUCAAAGAAAAAGAGCUACCUGAGCCUCCUCAGAAAAAGCAUAUUAAUUCUUCAGUAGUGUUCAGAUCAGAAAUUA